CCAGCUUUGGACAAAAGUCUGUAGCCAGUACAUUUGAAACUCCCCUUGCACAAGGGCUCACUGUAGCUGGGAGAAGGCAUUUUACUCAUUUGCUCUCUCCCUUCCUACCGUCAGCUGGUCCCUCUUCUCAGGUGUAGAUCACCUAUUAUCAUUUCACCUAUUUUGAUACUCUACUGAGGAGAGUCCCAGGAUGCAGCUGGGACAGGCCCACUAACAAGACAGCCCA
ensembl:misc_RNA